ACGAACGCUGGCGGCGUGCUUAACACAUGCAAGUCGAACGGUGAUGCUCCAGCUUGCUGGAGUGGAUCAGUGGCGAACGGGUGAGUAACACGUGUGCAACCUGCCCCAGACUCUGGAAUAAGCGCUGGAAACGGCGUCUAAUACUGGAUACGAAACUGGCCCGCAUGGGCAUGGUUUGGAAAGUUUUUCGGUUUGGGAUGGGCUCGCGGCCUAUCAGCUUGUUGGUGAGGUAAUGGCUCACCAAGGCGACGACGGGUAGCCGGCCUGAGAGGGCGACCGGCCACACUGGGACUGAGACACGGCCCAGACUCCUACGGGAGGCAGCAGUGGGGAAUAUUGCACAAUGGGCGAAAGCCUGAUGCAGCGACGCCGCGUGAGGGAUGACGGCCUUCGGGUUGUAAACCUCUUUCAGCAGGGAAGAAGCGAAAGUGACGGUACCUGCAGAAGAAGCACCGGCUAACUACGUG
rnacentral:rRNA from 1 species